rnacentral:lncRNA from 1 species
AUUACCUUUACAUCCUAUCUUUACAUCCUUACUAUCCUUACAUUACAACUAUCUUCAAAUUCUAACUAUCUUUACAUCAUAACUGCCUAUACUCAUCUCUCUCUACAUCCCACAUCCUAACUAUUGUACUGAAGGACGUCCUAGGAAUGCAUUGUUUUGACUGUCUUGUCUGGGGGGAGGGACCUAAGGGAGGAGCAGGUUGUAACGUGCGCGUUUGGCUGAACCCAAGUGCACAGGCUGGCGACGAGCGUGGAACAGAGUCAAUAGUUUAUUUCGUAGACAGGCGAGUAGUCAGACAAGCAGGGAUCAGGAACCAACGGGGUAGUCAGACAGGCGGGGAUCAGGAACCGGCAGGAGAGUCAGACAGGCGAGGAUCAGGAACCAGAAGGAGAGUCAGACAGGGAUCAGGAACCGGGAGAAUAGUCAGACAGGCAGGGAUCAGAGAGCAGGCAGGAGCGGUGGUAGGUCAGGAGUAGAAUCGCGGGAAAGCACUGUGAAACACAAGAGACAAUCUGGCAGGGAAUGUUUGGGAGGAGAGGACUGAUAUAGGGGAAACACAGGUGAAGGUGGUUGGGUUAAUUGGGAGUGAUCAGGGUGGCAGGCAGGUGAAUGAGAAAACCAGGGGCGGAUCAUGACACAGGUUGCAUUAAUUAAUUGGUCGCACCUGCUCACUGAUGAGUGUGGAGGAGCAGGAACUUGGGAAAGGGGAUAGAGAAUGAAAGAAGAGCACAGUGCCGGUUGAGUUGAUCUGGGAAUUGCUGUGUUGUCGCUAACGCCGAGCUGCACUCAAGAUUAGGGGUGGGUGCCGUUCGCAUGCUAUUAGGGCUGCCGGCGGUGAAGACAGCUCAGCGGGAUAAAUGUAGAUAGGGCCGGGGAAUAUGAGUGCAUGGGCGGUGCGACUUUCCAGCAAGGGGAUCUCUGAUUCCGCUCCAUUCGGAGGCCUCACGAGUUCUGGACGGGCGUCUUCCUUAUCCCUUUUGCCUUCCAGCACCAACACUAGACCCCAGGGUAGGGUCUCGUAUCCCGGGAGAGUUAAGUUCUAUUUCAUCCUUACUGAC